rnacentral:rRNA from 1 species
GCUAGGAAUCUUGGGAAUGGGCGAAAGCCUGACCCAGCAACGCCGCGUGGGCGAUGAAGGCCUUCGGGUCGUAAAGCCCUUUUGCAGGGGACGAUGAUGACGGUACCUUGCGAAUAAGCCACGGCUAACUACGUGCCAGCAGCCGCGGUAAUACGUAGGUGGCAAGCGUUGUCCGGAUUUACUGGGCGUAAAGGGCGUGCAGGCGGUUUGUUAAGUGCAGGGUGAAAGCUCCCGGCUCAACUGGGAGAGGUCCUUGCAUACUGGCAAACUCGAGGGAGGCAGAGGAAAGUGGAAUUCCCGGUGUAGUGGUGAUAUGCGUAGAUAUCGGGAGGAACACCUGUGGCGAAGGCGGCUUUCUGGGCCUUACCUGACGCUGAGACGCGAAAGCGUGGGGAGCGAACCGGAUUAGAUACCCGGGUAGUCC